AUGAAAUCGCCAUUGCGCAAGUUCCGGGGCCUCGCCCUCCCCCACCACCACAAGGAGAAGAAGGACCAACGGCCGCCGCCCGCCAAGCUCGACAACCUCGUCGACGCCGCCCAGGAGAUGGAGGAAAUGAGAACUUGUUAUGAUAGCUUGCUUUCGGCUGCAGCUGCAACAACAAAUAGUGUAUAUGAGUUUGCAGAAGCUAUGGAAGAAAUGGGAACUUGCUUACUUGAGAAAACUGCAUUGGAUUGCGAUGAUGAUGACAGUGGCAGGGUGCUGAUGAUGCUAGGAAAGGCUCAAUUCGAACUACAAAAGUUUGUGGAUAACUAUCGCACAAAUAUCAUAAAUACAAUCACAAACCCUUCAGAGUCUCUUCUCAAGGAGCUACAAGUUGUAGAGGAAAUGAAGGACCACUGUGAUCAGAAAAGAGAGGAAUAUGAAACCAUGCGGUCAGCCUAUAAAGAUAAAGGACGAUCAAGGCAUCCCAAAACUGAAACAUUCUCCCCAGAACAAUUGCAAGCGUCCUAUCUCGAGUACCAAGAAGAUGCAACAUUAUUCAUAUUUCGCAUGAAAUCAUUGAAGCAAGGUCAAUUCUUGAGUAUUUUAACACAGGCUGCUCGCCAUCAUGCUGCUCAGUUGAGUUUUUUCAGGAAAGGGUUGAAGUAUCUAGAGGCUCUAGAACCUCAUGUAAAAGCAGUUGCUGAGAAGCAGCACAUUGAUUAUCACUUCAGUGGACUAGAUGAUGACACUGAUAAUGAUGAUUACAGCUCUUACCAGGACAAUCAUAGUGAGGGCAGUGAGUUGAGUUUUGACUACGGGAUAAACUUUCCUGCUUCCAGGAGUUCAAUGGAUUUGGAUCAGUCUAAUAUGGCGAGUCCCACGAAACCUCUGAAGGAACAUGAGCAGGAACAUGCCAAACAAAGAGAGACUGAUUUUGCAGCUCCUCGAGUGAAGCCUGAGUUUGGUACUCAAUCAGCACCAAUUUUUGCUGAUAAUGUGCUUGAUCCAUCUGUGAGGCUUCGCAAGUUGAAUUCUCCAAUGUUCUCGAGCCCACUACAGUCAAGUAGAACAAACUAUUCCUACAAACUCCCGACACCAGCUGAUGAUAAAAUCUCCACUUCAGCAGACACUAACAGAUCACCUCAUUCAGACAAACCAGAGAGUUCACAUGUGGCAGCAAAUUUGUGGCAUUCCUCUCCGCUCGUGAAAGAUUAUAAGCCGAGCUCCUUGUAUAGCGGGCCUGUUAAGAUGCCAUCAAGUACUGAGAGGAGAUCAUCACCAUUAGUUUAUUCCUACUCCACUUCAGAUUCUAAGAAAAUGAAGAGGGAAUCUUUUUCUGGCCCAAUUCCUAGUAAAGCAGGGCUAAGCAAACCCUUGUUUUCAGCUGCUGGUCACAGAGCAUCAGUAAAUUAUCCUCCUCGUGUUAUGUCAACAAAAUCACAUGGACCAGGUUCUCUUCCAUCUGUGGCUCCAAAAGUCCCUAGGAUAACUUCACUGCCAACAACAUCCCCCAGAAUUAGUGAGCUUCAUGAGCUGCCUAGGCCUCCUGCAGCUUUAGACACUCUCCGGCCUGGUUUGGUUGGAUAUUCUGGUCCUUUGGUAUCAAGGCGGCAAAUUCCUACCCGUGCCUCCCCACCGUCAAAUACAGCAUCACCGCUUCCACGACCACCUGCUGCCAUGACUCGCAGCUAUUCUAUACCUUCAAACAGCCAAAGAACACCUAUUAUUACUGUGAAUAAGUUGUUGGAGUCUAGGCAUAGCAGAGAGAGCAGCGAAGUGUCCUCGCCCCCACUAACACCUAUAUCUUUGGCAGAUGUUUCCCGCAAAGCAAUAGCAGAAACAACUAUAGACACCAGAAGGAUGAAGGAAACCUUGUGA
rnacentral:rRNA from 1 species